AUAGAGAGUUGGUGACUGCCUUUGAGAGGAGAAUGGUUGUGAUCCUUUUGCCGAGAACUCACCCAGAGGACUUAUACCUUGGUGACAGCAGAAGGACUCAAGUUAGAAGGCCAGGGCCCUUAAAGGGAGGGGACGAUUCGAGGAAAGUAUAGAUUAGAAAACUGAGGCCCAGAGAAGGAAAGUAGCUGCCAGAGGUCACACAGCUAGGAUUGAGGGAUCAGAGGUUGCACCCUUCUAGGAACUUCCGCCUGAGGGAGACUGGUCAGAGCUCAGGAGGGACUGUUCCAGGGGAUGAGAUAUCUGCUGGCCAGGAAAGGCAUGGGAACUGGGCAGCGGAGCACACCCUCCGGACCUGGCCCAACUUCAGAAUAACAACAAAUGAUUGUGCCAGGCUCUGCCAGUUCCUCCUCCCCCACAAGCUGGCACAUGUGGAUAUUGGCUCUGUUUUGCCUUUGACCCCUAGUGAAAGAAAAUACUGAGACGGAGUCUCGCUCUGUCGCCCAGGUUGGAGUGAAGCGGCUAGAUCUCAGCUCACUGCAACCUCUGCCUCCCAGGUUUAAGCAAUUCUCCUGUCUCAGCCUCCAGAGUAGCUGGGACUACAGGCGCAUGCCACCAUGCCCUACUAAUUUUUUGUAUUUUUAGGAGAGACAGGCCUUCACCAUGUUGGUCAAGCUGGUCUCGAACUCCUGACCUCAGGUGACCCACCGGCUUCAGCCUCCCAAAGUGCUGGGAUUACAGGCAUGAGCCACCGCGCCCAGCCUCAUAUCUAUCUUUAUCACUCCAUUUCAGAUCUUCUUCCAUAUAUGGCUCUGUGUGUCUCCUGUCCUUCCCUGUCUCCUCACUGCUUUUCAGCUGGUAGACCCCUGUGGGGACAACAGAUCAGAGCUUGGUCACCAAUAUGGACAUCUAGGACCACAGGUCAUCCUCAAGCCUUCCUCCCAGGCUAUCCUUGUCCCUGAAUACUAAUGUCUAAAGGUCAGCCCAGCUACCAGCAGUGUGCAUGUGAUGUGUCCCAUCUCCCCUUCGGAUUGGAGGAAGAAGCUGUGUCCCUCCCAUCAGACAGACGGUCUCCUUAAAGAUUCUCCUGGUCUCCAGCUUGGGCUCUGCUGGAAAGAAGAGGAAGUAUUUAGCAAGGGUGAAGAUGGGUUCUUACUUCCCUGAGGCAACCAGAGAUAAGAAAAGACCAGAAUAUGAAUAUCCAGCAUUCCACAAAGAAUCCUACAGGCAGGGAUAUUGCCCAAUCACCAGUGCCUCGCAUCCCAGUUCUAUCCAAGAUCCAAGCUUGAUAUCCUCCUGAAAGACUUCCUGAAUCAGGUCACCAACAUGGACAUCUGAACUUCCAGAAUCAGGUCACCGUCUUUCUUCUCAUCUCUGGAUGUAUUUGGAGCUCAUUUGUCUGACGGUUUUUGAAUGCUAUCUUUUAAAAAUAAACUUUUACAAUUUGGGUUUAAUAAUUCUAGAUUUAUAGAAAAGUUGAAAAGAAAGUACAGAAAGUUCCCAUAUAUCCCUUAUCCAGUUCUCUUAAUGUUAACCUCCUACAUCAUCAUGGAACAUUUGCCAAAAUGAAGAUGUCAACACUGGUGCUUUGCUGUGAACUAAACUCCAGACUUUAUUCGGAUUUCAUGAAUUUUUCUCCUAAGGUCCCUUUUCCGUUCCGGCAUUCCACCCAGGAUAUCACAUUGCAUUUGGUGUUUGUGUCUCCUUGGUCUCCUCUGGUUCUUGAGAGUUUCUCAGUCUCUCCUUGUUUUUCGUGACUGAAGUUUCAAGGAGUACUGGUCAGGUAUUCCAUAGAAUGUCCUACUGUUAGCUUUCAGCAGUAAAAGCCUUUCCACAAACAAAA
ensembl:lncRNA LINC01969 long intergenic non-protein coding RNA 1969